UACGUAGGGUGCAAGCGUUGUCCGGAAUCAUUGGGCGUAAAGAGCCCGUAGGCGGUCUGUCGCGUCGGAUGUGAAAACCCAGGGCUCAACCCUGGGCCUGCAUUCGAUACGGGCAGACUAGAGUUCGGUAGGGGAGACGUGGAAUUCCUGGUGUAGCGGUGAAAUGCGCAGAUAUCAGGAGGAACACCGGUGGCGAAGGCGGGUCUCUGGGCCGAAACUGACGCUGAGGAGCGAAAGCGUGGGGAGCAAACAGG
rnacentral:rRNA from 1 species